ACGGGUGAGUAACGCGUGGGUAACCUGCCUCAUACAGGGGGAUAACAGUUGGAAACGACUGCUAAGACCGCAUAAGCCUACAGUACCGCAUGGUACAGGAGGAAAAAAUUUAUUGGUAUGAGAUGGACCCGCGUCUGAUUAGCUAGUUGGUAAGGUAACGGCUUACCAAGGCGACGAUCAGUAGCCGACUUGAGAGAGUGAUCGGCCACAUUGGGACUGAGACACGGCCCAAACUCCUACGGGAGGCAGCAGUGGGGAAUAUUGCACAAUGGGGGAAACCCUGAUGCAGCGACGCCGCGUGAGUGAAGAAGUAUUUCGGUAUGUAAAGCUCUAUCAGCAGGGAAGAUAAUGACGGUACCUGACUAAGAAGCCCCGGCUAACUACGUGCCAGCAGCCGCGGUAAUACGUAGGGGGCAAGCGUUAUCCGGAUUUACUGGGUGUAAAGGGAGCGUAGGUGGUAUGGUAAGUCAGAUGUGAAAGCCCAGGGCUCAACCCUGGGACUGCAUUUGAAACUAUCAAACUAGAGUGCAGGAGAGGUAAGUGGAAUUCCUAGU
rnacentral:rRNA from 1 species